UAACUCAAAAGGAUGGACCGCGCGGCCAGU
rnacentral:piRNA from 1 species